AGUACCUACCAGGCCUCCCUACAGGCUCCGGUCUGUUUUUGGAGACUAAGCAGGGUUGGGCCUGAUUACUGUUGGGAUGGGAGCCCACCUGGCGAUACCAGGUGCUGUAGGCGUUU
rnacentral:rRNA from 1 species